GAAGGCUGAAAUUAGGAGAAUUACAGGAUUUAAGGAGGGAAAACUUGGGAGAUUGCUGCAGGUGCGCAUGUCACAAUGAAACUGUCUGAAACAGAUUGUAUGCCUCUUUUGGAGAAAAUAAAGAAAAAAUAGCUGGG